rnacentral:rRNA from 1 species
UCGGGAAUUUUGGGCAAUGGGCGAAAGCCUGACCCAGCAACGCCGCGUGAGGGAUGAAGUAUUUCGGUAUGUAAACCUCGAAAGAAUGGGAAGAAUAAGUGACGGUACCAUUUAUAAGCUCCGGCUAACUACGUGCCAGCAGCCGCGGUAAUACGUAGGGAGCAAGCGUUGUUCGGAUUUACUGGGCGUAAAGGGCGCGUAGGCGGCGCGGUAAGUCACUUGUGAAAUCUCUGAGCUUAACUCAGAACGGCCAAGUGAUACUGCUGUGCUAGAGUGCGGAAGAGGCAACCGGAAUUCUUGGUGUAGCGGUGAAAUGCGUAGAUAUCAAGAGGAACACCUGAGGCGAAGGCGGGUUGCUGGGCCGACACUGACGCUGAUGCGCGAAAGCCAGGGGAGCAAACG